rnacentral:rRNA from 1 species
GCGGUUGAAGGAAGCUUGCUUCCUGAUUCAGCGGCGGACGGGUGAGUAAUGCCUAGGAAUCUGCCUGGUAGUGGGGGACAACGUUUCGAAAGGAACGCUAAUACCGCAUACGUCCUACGGGAGAAAGCAGGGGACCUUCGGGCCUUGCGCUAUCAGAUGAGCCUAGGUCGGAUUAGCUAGUUGGUGAGGUAAUGGCUCACCAAGGCGACGAUCCGUAACUGGUCUGAGAGGAUGAUCAGUCACACUGGAACUGAGACACGGUCCAGACUCCUACGGGAGGCAGCAGUGGGGAAUAUUGGACAAUGGGCGAAAGCCUGAUCCAGCCAUGCCGCGUGUGUGAAGAAGGUCUUCGGAUUGUAAAGCACUUUAAGUUGGGAGGAAGGGCAGUCAGCGAAUACCUUGCUGUCUUGACGUUACCGACAGAAUAAGCACCGGCUAACUCUGUGCCAGCAGCCGCGGUAAUACAGAGGGUGCAAGCGUUAAUCGGAAUUACUGGGCGUAAAGCGCGCGUAGGUGGUUUGUUAAGUUGGAUGUGAAAUCCCCGGGCUCAACCUGGGAACUGCAUCCAAAACUGGCAAGCUAGAGUAGGGCAGAGGGUGGUGGAAUUUCCUGUGUAGCGGUGAAAUGCGUAGAUAUA